UUUUUGAUCCCUAGUCGUUUCUCAGUGUUUCGAUUAUCGUGGGCGUAUUGCCGUUCAUCAAGAGGAUACAAAAUGUAUACGUACAAAGCCCCUGUUGACCCGAUAAUAUUUCGAGACAAGUACCUAUCUACGCAUAGAAAAAACGGGGAAGAAAAAAGUUAGCACGAAAACAUGUGUCAAUAAAAUACUCACCAAUAAAUAUUUUAUUAUCAUAGUAUGUGAUGUACGGAGAACUCGCGAAAA